UGGUUUCGCGAAGACUUGCUCGUAAUGAACGCUGAAGUUAGUGGAGAUUCUGCGACUGAGACUACGUCUGUUACCGCUGGUCCCCAGAAUGGUGUUCCAAGGAAAAGGAAAUACUGCUCGCCAUAACCGAAGGAUGAGGGCAAAUCAGCCAUAUAACCCAACUGAAUAGGAUCAGAGCGAAACAGAAAAUGAUGUGAAGAAAUUUAUUUCAACACAGGAUGAUAGGACAGUAAGAGAGCUAUGUAUCCAGAGCCAUGCUGGGAAGUUGGGAGCAUGGACUACAUUCAUAGUCUUCUCAUUGCAGAAGAUGACCUUGAUGACGUGAAUGAAGAAGGCAAUGUGCUUGUCAUGACUGAAUCAGAGGAAACUGAACAGUCACUCAUUAGUGCAUCAAGUAGAUUUAUUUUCUUUUUUUCAUUAGUCCCUCCAGAAAUUGAAAACAAAUACUGCUUGCAGCAGGAAUGCAUGACUACACACUUUUCUGUAGGGCUUCAAAAUCCCUAUCUCUCCGGUCAAACCAUGGAAGGUCGUGAUCUUUCAAUUAUUGCUCGUGGUCGUACUUUCAUUUCUCAAUCACAGACCACGUUUUGAGAGGUACUGGUCUGGAAUGAUGAUU